GCAGUGUAUGAUGACUAAGCCUCUUUAUUCCUAGGCAUUAAAAUUAUCUUUAAGCUCUAGGCAAAAAAUAAUUUCUGCAUGUGAUAGAGGAAUUUAAAUUAAAACUUGCGGAAGUGUUAGAGCACCAGUUUCGUGUGUCUAAGGAGAGCAAGGUAGGUUGGCAGCGGAGAAAGCAGUGACCGAGAGGGUGGGAACUGAGCUCUCAAGAGGGGAGGGAAAAAAAUACGCUUCCAUGAUAUGUUUAUCAUUUAAGACUGGAGAUUCGCAUAUGGGAGUCCACAGUGUUCCGGUCUGUGUGGGAGCCGCUACUGAAUCUUAGAAGAUCCAGGUGAUAUUGGUUUGCGAUCUGGGCCCAGACACUUUAAAAACCACCAUCUUGCGCUCUACGAAGGUGGCUGCAUUUUUCUCUCCUGGCAUCUUCCACCUUCUUACAUCAAAACUAGUUUUCUCUUCCCCAGAAAGGGGUUGAAGGGAUCUGCCUGUCUUCUGGAAGGUGAAACUGAAGUUCUUUCUGAGCUGGUAAGUGUUUGGGGUUAAAUGCUGUGUUCUCAAAUUGUGCUUUUAACCACAUUUAAUUGGAGGGGCAGCCAUGAUAUCGUUUCCUGAAGCUGGUACCCUUCCACCCCUCUAACUCAGAGUUCUUUUUCUUUUGUUUGAAUUUUCUUGUUGUACUGUUCAAAUUCACGUUUUGCUUGUCUACUGGCUGACAAAGGAUAUUUAAACAGCUUUAUUCAAAGGCUGAAAUGU
rnacentral:lncRNA from 1 species